AUGCAGGGUAACGAAAUCAAAAUAGCCUAAAACUUAAGUGAUAUGUACUUCUACAAACGAAAAUACGACGAAAAUGGUGGACAAAGAUCAUUACGUUUGGAAUUUUGUUUAUUAGAUAUUGACAUUUGAAAAUUAAUCAAAAUUCCCUUAGCGUAAUAAGAGUACAUCCACGAGUGAACGAAGAGGUUCAUCGUAGUGAACCAUCUGCCAGUCGCUGAAGUUUCCCCAUAAGAGUACCAUGUAUAAAGAAGAACAGUUAUAUGGUGAUACCAGUGUAGGAAUAUUAAUGGUUGCUUUCGUAACACGAUGAAGGCUGUGUCACCGAGUUCUACUAUCUUCGACAAUGUAAACGAGAACGUCCAAAAUGCUGCAACGGGGUCUCGCGUAAGGAAACUGAAAAGCAAGAAUAAAGUAUUAAAGUGAAAUUACUUUGGAACACAAACGCUAUAGUAAAACCCAUAAUUGCUUAAAGUGUGGAACAUCUCUGAUCCCAUUCGAAGAAAGCCAAAGAUGGAGAACGUCGCAAGCAUCAAACUCCAUAAAGUAAGCCAACGUCUUAGGUCGAACUUUGGCUUAUCUGAUAGGUUCAAGACGUACGAGUAAUUAGGUAGAGACAUCUGCAUGUAGCUCAUAUUCUCCUUCAUCUUAUAAUCCAUUUUAACGCUCGUCCCGGGAUUUGCCUUUUCUAUCCAAGAUUUUUAUCUCUGUUGCCAAUCUAUUGAAAAAGAAGAAGAGUACAUCGGAUACGGUGUAAUUUAUAUUCUGACGAAUAUGAAUAAUUGUUUUAUGUAUUUAUGUAGUAGCGUAUAAUAUAGUUACUUAUAAAUUA